AAAGGAAAUGAUUAGGGUAAGGCGUGCAGAACUUGCAUACAGGUGCUGCACGGCUGUCGUCAGCUCGUGUCGUGAGAUGUUGGGUUAAGUCCCGCAACGAGCGCAACCCUCGUCCUUAGUUGCUAACAGUUCGGCUGAGAACUCUAAGGAGACUGCCUACGCAAGUAGGAGGAAGGUGAGGAUGACGUCAAGUCAUCAUGGCCCUUACGUCCAGGGCUACACACGUGCUACAAUGGGGUAUACAAAGAGCAGCAAUACGGUGACGUGGAGCAAAUCUCAAAAAUGCCUCCCAGUUCGGAUUGUAGUCUGCAACUCGACUACAUGAAGUUGGAAUCGCUAGUAAUCGUAGAUCAGCUAUGCUACGGUGAAUACGA
rnacentral:rRNA from 1 species